rnacentral:lncRNA from 1 species
GCAGGGUCAGUUUUGGGAGUCUAGUACUGUUUUCCUCUUUCCGUUGUUUUUAGUAUCCUUCCUGUAAUUAUCCUUGCUCCUUGUUGGUAUUGAAAGUUUAAGCUGCUUGAGUUACUUCCCUUUGAUCAGUAGCCUGGAACAAGCGGGUUUUUCAGAUAGUUAUCAGGGAGUCAUUGCUGAGAGCAAUAUAUAUAAUUUUAUGAAGUUUCUAGGUCUCAUAGAAAUUAUAAGCAUUCACAGCAGCACCCACAGAGUGAUCCUGUUUGUAUGUGUGAAGCCAUCAGUCAGUUGUAUGUUUGGUAUUUGGUCCCACAGACCUUAUGCCAUUGUUUU